rnacentral:lncRNA from 1 species
UUUACAUUAUGAAACACACAAAAAGUUUAAUAGAACAAAAAAAAACAUGUCUUACCACAGACUUGUUUAUUAUAUAACAGAAACUUUCAUAAAAAAAUAAAAAUAAUAAUAACUGUGCUAAUUAUAUAUAAUAAAUUUGUAAGGAUUCCGCGGAACCUGGUGUCUCACCUACUUUUGCUGUUAAUCGCAGGCUCAACAAAAAUGAGGAAAAAAAUAAUAAAAAUAUUCCUCUCAUACUAUCUUUUGAUUGAAAGAAUAUUCUAUCCAAGUUUGGUAAAAAUCCAGGAUAGUUUAUGAAUCUAAUAAAUGUUUAACAAACUUUAACUGCAAACUAUAUG